rnacentral:rRNA from 1 species
GACGAACGCUGGCGGCGUGCUUAACACAUGCAAGUCGAGCGAUGAAGUUCCUUCGGGAACGGAUUAGCGGCGGACGGGUGAGUAACACGUGGGUAACCUGCCUCAUAGAGGGGAAUAGCCUUUCGAAAGGAAGAUUAAUACCCCAUAAGAUUGUAGUACCGCAUGGUAUAGCAAUUAAAGGAGUAAUCCGCUAUGAGAUGGACCCGCGUCGCAUUAGCUAGUUGGUGAGGUAACGGCUCACCAAGGCGACGAUGCGUAGCCGACCCGAGAGGGUGAUCGGCCACAUUGGGACUGAGACACGGCCCAGACUCCUACGGGAGGCAGCAGUGGGGAAUAUUGCACAAUGGGGGAAACCCUGAUGCAGCAACGCCGCGUGAGUGAUGACGGUCUUCGGAUUGUAAAGCUCUGUCUUCAGGGACGAUAAUGACGGUACCUGAGGAGGAAGCCACGGCUAACUACGUGCCAGCCGCCGCCGUAA